rnacentral:rRNA from 1 species
GUGGGGAAUCUUGCGCAAUGGGCGAAAGCCUGACGCAGCCAUGCCGCGUGAAUGAUGAAGGUCUUAGGAUUGUAAAAUUCUUUCACCGGGGACGAUAAUGACGGUACCCGGAGAAGAAGCCCCGGCUAACUUCGUGCCAGCAGCCGCGGUAAUACGAAGGGAGCUAGCGUUGCUCGGAAUUACUGGGCGUAAAGGGCGCGUAGGCGGACAGUUUAGUCAGAGGUGAAAGCCCAGGGCUCAACCUUGGAAUUGCCUUUGAUACUGGCUGUCUUGAGUACGGGAGAGGUGAGUGGAACUCCGAGUGUAGAGGUGAAAUUCGUAGAUAUUCGGAAGAACACCAGUGGCGAAGGCGACUCACUGGCCCGUUACUGACGCUGAGGCGCGAAAGCGUGGGGAGCAAACAGGAUUAGAAACCCCGGUAGUCC